UACAGAGGGGGCAAGCGUUGUUCGGAAUUACUGGGCGUAAAGGGCGCGUAGGCGGCCUUCUAAGUCAGACGUGAAAUCCCCAGGCUCAACCUGGGAACUGCGUCUGAUACUGGAUGGCUUGAAUCCGGGAGAGGGAUGCAGAAUUCCAGGUGUAGCGGUGAAAUGCGUAGAUAUCUGGAGGAACACCGAUGGCGAAGGCAGCCUUCUGGGCCAACACUGACGCUCAUGCACGAAAGCGUGGGGAGCAAACAGG
rnacentral:rRNA from 1 species